GGAUCCCAUCCCAAAGAUUCUCCAGGUGCCUGCCUGGAUCCUCCAAGAUCCCUUCCCCAUGUGACAGUUUCAUCCUGUGGAUCCUCACAAUUCCAUGGAGGAACCUAAGGAAUUUAUUCCCACCCCUGGAUGGAUUUCUGUUAUUAUCCAUGCACCGAGGACGACGAUCCAUCCCCACAAUUCCCUGGAAAACGCCCCAUUUAUUAAUUAAUUACCGAGCACUGUUGCUCCUGCUGCCAGGCCCAGCUGUCCCAGCACCCAGCUUGGAUGCAGCUCCUCUCCAGGGAUUUCUGGACAAUCCCCCCUUGCUCCUCCUCCCGCCGGAUCCUUUUGUGCGGCUCCGUUUCCUCCCCACCUGCUCCCUUUUCCAGCCGCAAUGGAUCCAUUGUCUGGAGCUGCUCGGCUUUUCCCACAGGGAUUGCAGCUCCACAGAGCUCCCUGUCAGCCUGCCCGGAACGUGGAGGAGCCAAGGAAAACAUGAAACAGGGAAGGGAAGAAAAAAAAAAGGAAAGGAGAAAGUGCUUUUACAGGAAUUUGGUGGUGCUUUGAUGAGUUUGGACUUACCCAGCACCUUGCAACUGCUCAUCCCAAACCUCCCAUGCUUCCCAGUGCACCCCAGACCUAGAUUUGGGAGCCAAGGAUUCGUCUGGCACCAAGGAAAAUCAGCUCAGAGCAGCAGAGACAAGGCUGACCCUUCCCAGCUCAGCCCCUGCCAUCCCCUGGGAUUCCUGUUUCAGCAGGACUCUGGAUUUAUCCCAAACCAGCUGUUGCUUUGGGGCAAUAAUCCACAGGCACGGGAAAACCUGGAUAUAAAUUCUUUCUGGACAUGGACACACUUGCUUUAUGGAUCUGCAGGAAAAAGAGGCCAUUUAGGGCCAGAUUUUGGGGCCUGACCCUUUGUGCCACAUCCCACCUGGUGCCUCUCCUAGCUGGGAUGAUCCAUAUGGUAUUAAAGGAUAUCUAAGGAUAUUUAGGAAUAUGUCUAUGCCUGGACACUGAUUUGUUUAAACCUUCUGCUUUGAAAUUAAACCCCUGGGAAUAUAUUUUGACCUUUGGGUGUUCCCAAAGGAUUCCUUGAGGGCCCACAAUUCCUGAGGGAUGAUCCAGGAUCAACUGUGGGCUUGUGGGUCCCCUUUUGUGCUCAGGUUUGAACCUGUGUGCCAGGAAAUUUUACUUUUUCUGAUCCAGAUGGGAAUUCCCAAGGGAAUCCUGGUCUCCCUCAUUUUCCCAGCCCUCAUUUCCUAAGGAAGAGCUGACAGAAAUCAGGAAAACCCCACAAAACUUUAGGAUCAGCACUGGGAGCUGAGGUGCUCAGCCUGGUGAUGACUGGGAGGCCUCAUUCCCAAUAUUCCCACUCUGCUGGCAGAGGGGAGAGGAUUUCCCAGGAAUGCACCUCCUGCCCAGUUCAGCCCCCUGGCUGUCCCAGUAUCCAGCUGGUGAGCUCUGGCGACCUGAUUGCUCCUGCCAGGAGAUUUCCAGUGUCUCCACACAACUCCUGCUCCUGCCAGAACUGGGACACGCCUCUGGCAGGGAGAAGGGAAGGAGCUGACCCAGCUCCAGCAGCUCAUCCUGCUGGGCACUUCCAGAGGGGCCAGGGCUCAUCUCACAGCCAGGACAGGGACUGGCACCUUCCUAGAGCAGGGUUAUUCCAGGGAAUCCCCACUGGGAUUCCCAAUCCUGCCAUAAACCAGCCCCUUUCCAUAACCCUUCUCCAGAUGCAGCUUCUUCUUCCCUGAAUGCAGUUCCAGGACUUCCAGAGCAGCCUCAGAGCCUCCAGGACAGCCCCAGGAGCACCCUGGGAAGCUCCAGGAUCCUUCUGGGAAGCCUCAGUCCUCUGGAAAUCUCCAGGACACUAUUGGGAAUCCCCAGCAUCCUCCUGGGAAGCCCCAGGAA
rnacentral:lncRNA from 1 species